CAAAAAUAAACGUCCCAGUUCGGAUUGUAGUCUGCAACUCGACUACAUGAAGCUGGAAUCGCUAGUAAUCGCGAAUCAGAAUGUCGCGGUGAAUACGUUCCCGGGUCUUGUACACACCGCCCGUCACACCAUGAGAGUCGGGAACACCCGAAGUCCGUAGUCUAACCGCAAGGGGGGCGCGGCCGAAGGUGGGUCCGGUAAUUGGGGGUGAAGUCGUAACAAGGUAAC
rnacentral:rRNA from 1 species